rnacentral:lncRNA from 1 species
GGUCUGCCAGCCUUAGGCUUUUCACUGGCAAGUGACCAUGAUGACCACAAGCACCAUGCCCCACCCCGAGGCAGGUUCUCCUGCACAUUUUUCCCUUAGGCUGGAAAUCCAGCUCGCUUAUAUAACAAGCUUCAUUGCAACACUCUCCUUCAAGCCAGAGGGACUCUGGACUAUUCCCAUUUCUCUGGCUCCACAGCAGGCACUCCCAGCUUCCUGUGAAUUUGGUGAGCCAUCUGACCGUGUCUGCCAAGCCUCUCCUUUCUGGGGCCUCGCUUACCUGAGAUCUGCCUUCCCAUGGGAAAUGCAAUGUGAAGUAAAAGCAACAGACAGCCUGAGGAGCCCAGGCACCACGACGCUCAAUGCGAUUACCGUGCGGUCAUAUUUUGUUGGGGGAGGGAGGUGGUCUGGCAGCUUCAGAAUCAUGGAAGACAAAAAUCCUCACACUGUCAAUAUUACCGUAGAUGUUCCUUAAAAUACAGGAAGUCCUUUAUAGCUCUUUCUUUUUUUUUUUUUUUUUUUGAGGAAGAUUAGCCCUGAGCUAACCACUGCCAAUCCUCAUUUUUUGCUGAGGAAGACUGGCCCUGAGCUAACAUCCAUGCCCAUCUUCCUCUGCUUUACACGUGGGAUGCCUACCACAGCAUGGCUUUCGCCAAGCAGUGCUAUGUCCGCACCUGGGAUCCCAACCGGCGAACCCUGGGUCGCCGAGAAGUGGAACGUGCGAACUUAACCACUGCACCACCGGGCUGGCCUCUAUAGCUCUUUCAUGACCAGUGUUCACAGUCCUAGGUACAAAGUUCUAUACUGUACUUCUUAACAUACCUCAAAGUCAAGAACCACUGAGCUAGACCGAAAGAAAAGGAAUAGGCAAGUUUAUAUACAUGUCUGAUGCUUCUAAAUAUCCCUCCUUAAAGAUAAAGGAAGGAGGAAGUUUUGAAAAUGUUUCUACUAGUUUGUAAGGUUUAGUCCCAUUCUGUGUGCAUAUUACACCUUUAAAAUAUAAUGUUAAUACAGGUCAAUGGAUUUAUUUGUUGUGGAGGAAAUUAAAUGAGAUGAUGUCUCCUUUGGGGAUGUGUUGAGAGAGGUUGGGCUCUGUUAAAGAAUAAUUUUUUUUAAAAAGUGAAAAAGGUAAAAUCAUGACUCAUACAGACAUAAAAUGAUCACGUCAAAGAUACUUAACUCAUUAAUUAACAAGGGAACCAGUCAGUAUUACAAAAGAGAGUUCAAAAGAAAAUGCAAAGUUCCACACAUUUAUAGUCCGGUAAGGAAUUCUGAAGAGAAUUGACAAAGGGAUGCGACAAUGGCAAAACUGUUCAGUAUCCACAGGGUGAUAAUCAGCUGCAUUCCACUGGACACAAUUUGCAUUGCUAUGGACAGGGAUUGCUACAAUUAGCUUCCUACAGCAAACAUCUUUCUCUACAGAGUUGUAAGAUAGUCUCGUCAAAGAUAAAGGCAGACAGUUGAGCUACCCACUAAAUUUCAAAGGCUUUUGCAAUUUUUCCCUACGUUUCUAAAGUCUGGGCGCGCUUUACAUGCAGGGCAUAAGACCCCUCAGUAUUCACAAGGGUCUCUCUCUCCCUCUAGCCUCAGGAUGCUGCGGGGUCCCUCCAGGGUCUAGAGACCAGAACUCCCAGAAGCCUGCAGAGCCGAUUUCUCCCAUUUCCCUGUGCUGGACUGUCACAGCACUGGGGACCAACUUCUUACCACCCAAUGGUUUGCCUGUAAGAAACCUUACAUGUCCGUUUAUUAAGUGGCAAAAACAGUGCUAAAAGGCGGCUGAAACAAUUCCCUUGUCAGUACGAUUUGUCAGGCCCAUUCCUCCUGUUUCUUCACCCGCCUGGUUCACGGCCUUUUUCUGAUUAUACAGCAUUUGCUUUUAGAUCCUGCGAGGCGGGUCUUCACCCACAUGGACCUGGCGUCCCUGGGUCAGGCCGGCAGGCUGGGAGAACACGAUUAGCUGUCACCCAGGCUGCAGUCUCUGUAGUCUCCUCCACUGGUGCUGCCCUUCUCAGUCCAGCUCAGCCUGGCUGACCCCCUCUGGACCCACACUAGGCUAGUACCACUAUUCUGUUCCUGCCAUUUCUCACAUUCAGAUGUUUCCCCUCCGUGAAUCCUAUUGAAGUGGUGGGUGGGAUCGCUCCCAGCUGGGCUAAAAUUGUAAUCAGCAGUUCAAAACAAAGAGAAGUAUACUACAGACCAAAAUGAGUUUUUAUCCACGUUAAAAGCCAGCUUUUCCCUGAGCUAAAAAGUUGGGGUCUGGAUGGCAACAAGAAGGAGAGAGAAGGAGCAUGGGGCUGAGCACAGAGCAUAGUGAAGACCUUGUUCCCACCCUCGAGAAGCUUGCUGUCUAGGUGGGAAGGUGGAGAGUUCUGCAUUAGCCAGGAUUCUCCAGAAAAACAGAACCAACAGAAUGUGCAUAGAGAGAGAGAAAGAGAUUUAUUUUAAGGAAUUGGCUCAAGUAAAUAUGGAGGCUUGACAAGUGCAAAAUCUGCAGGAUGGGUGGGCAGGCUGAGACCUAAGCAUGAGCUGAUGUUGCAGUUCAAGUCCAAAGGCCAUCCUCUGAAGCAUUCACCUCCUCAGGGUGGGUCAGCCUUCUGUUCUAUGCAGGCCUUUCAUCUGUUUGGAUGAGGCCCACCCACAUGAUGAAGGGCAAUCUGCUUUACUCAAUGUCCACUGAUUUAAAUGUAAAAUUCAUCCAAAAACAUCCUCACAGAAACAUCUAGAAUGAUGUUUGACCAAAUAUGUAAGCGCCUUGGCCAAGCCAAGUUGACACAGGAAAUUAACCAUCACACAUUCCUAGCACCAUAGUCUGGGUCUUAGGAGCCAGUUGGUCGGUAGUGCAGGUGCUGAAGACUCCGCUGAAGAAUAAGACUGAUGCUGGGAGAAGGGAAUGGGAAAUAGGCUUCAGAGUGGCCAAGGAGAAGGAGGUUAGGGAAAACCAGGCCCAGGCUUAUUGCUCACCUGCCCAGCUGUUCUAACUACCCUCUCGUGUUUCCUAGAGAUGUCUUGCUAUCUGUCCUACCUUUAGGCUUAUUAAGGAAUUUCUCCUGAGCUCCUAGAAUGAGCUGAGGCAGAUCACUGUGGCCUUGCUCAGACAGACUACCCUUGUGGGGAUCCCAGGAACAGCCCAGGGAAUCUGGACUUCCUUCUCUUAAUUCCCAGGGUGCCCUGUGACAACUCUUCACAGGCUUAAAACUUACCUGUGUUUGCAAGGGAGAAUGCUGGGACCGGGCAGCGCCUACUGCGCAACAACAGUGAGGCGGCCAGCAGGACCUGAGGCUGUUUCAGGCACUGAAUAUAAAGGGAGAAGUCCAGCCCCCUUGGAACCGGUUUCUCUUUAUCUCUGUCUUGGGCUUUGAGCCCUGGGUGGUAGGUUGAAUGGUAACCCCAAAAGAUCUGCCCACACUCUAGUCCCUGGAACCUGUGAAUAUGACCUUAUGUGGAAAAGAGGUCUUUUCGGGUAUAAUUAAAUUUAGAAUCUUGAGAUGAGAUCAUCCUACUUAUCUUACUUAGGGUGGGCCCUAACUACAAUAACAAGUCUCCUUGUAAGAGAAAGGCAGAGGGACACUCGAGACAGAGAAGGCCAUGUGAAGACAGAGGGAGAGGCUGGAGUUCUGCACUCACAAGCCAGGGACUGCCUGGAGCCAUCAGAAGCCAGAAGAGGCAAGGAAGGCUUCUCCCGUAGAGACUCUGGAUACCUACUGCAAACUUCUCGUGUCCAGCUAGAACCAGGAGAGAAUUAAUUUCUGUUUUAAGCCACCAAGUUUGUGGUAAUUCGUUACAGCACCUCCAGGAAAUUCACACUCCCUAUUAGUGGCCUUUAGAAGUUGUCUGAGGCACUAUGGAUCCAAACAACAAAAUAAACACUCUCACACUGCCUGAGGUGAGGCAAAUGCAGCAUCCUGGCUACAGAGGAGCUGUAAUGAUAUACUCUUGUAUGUUAGUUCAUCCCCCUCAGCAGGUAUUUAUUGAGUGCCAACCACACAGCAGGCAUUGUGUUAGGUGCUGAUUAUACAAGGAUGGUCAAAACAUCCUGGGGAGGAUGCAGCAUCAGAGUCAUUUGUCACCAGUGUCCCUUGGUCCAGAGCAUUCCUUAUCAAUGAAUGAACCAUCCCAUGGUGAACUGUGCUGUGCGCAGAGCUCCACGCUGGAACCAAUUCUGACUCAGGACCAUUCCUUCCUAACCCUGUUGGGCCAGGCCUGUCCUUCUGCUCCAGUUUGCUGCUGCUUUGAUCCAGGCUGCAACCCCUCUCCUGGCUUCCUGCCAGCAUCCCUCAUCUGGUCCCCAGAACCUUCUUUCAGCCAAACACCUUUCUUCCCUGGCCCGUAGCGGUAAAUCCCCGGUGGGAGUUGGGAUUAAGAAUCCCAGCAUGGAGUCACACUGCCUGAGUUUGAUCCCUGACCUCACCAUGUACUAGCCAAGUAAACUUGGGAAAGUAUUUACUAUCUGCUAGCCUCAACUUCCUCAUCUACACAAUGGGGAUAAAAGUGUCUGCUUCAUAGGGCUGCUGAAUGUAUUAAACAGGACAGUGUCUAGUUCUCAGUCAAUGCUUAAUAAAUAGCAGCUAUUAUUAUUUUUGCAGAACUGGUCCUCUUUCCUAGGUGUCUUCUGUCUCUCAUCAGGAGGCCUGGGGCCCCUUCUGGUCUAGCCUGGGAAGUUCUGUUUUUCCCAUACAGGCAGGAAGGCAUCUUUCAGAACGUGAGAGGACAACUGGCCUUGAGACAAUCGAAAAGAAUAGCAAUGAAGAGAACAACCUGGCAGAGAGUACACCGCAGAGAAAGGAAAUGGGGCUUCAGCUGCCUCAACAGUGUGCCUGCCUGGAUUCUCAAAGACGGAAAAGCAGCAGCAGCAAGGAGGGACGUCAGAGUCCAUGACUGCACCACUCUCCCUCACACUCAGAACCGCUCUAUUACACAACUCUGGGGGACCAUUAGAACUGGACUGGGGUGGUGUGGCAGCCCCUUCAUGGUGGCCUGCUCCUCCAACGUGUUGAAGAAGAAUGACAACUAGGAUUUUCAGAUGCUCCCAGUUGUCCCUGACCUGAGUCCUGAGCUUUAAAUUCAUUAAAAUGGGCGCUUUGUUCUCAAACAAGUACUUGUAUGUAGAUGUUCAUAGCACCACUAUUCACAAUAGUCAAACGUCCAUCAACAGAUGAUUGGAUAAAUAAAUUGUGGAAUAUAUGAAAUGGAAUAUUAUUCAGCCACAAAAAGAAAUGAAGUACUGAUACAUUCUACAACUUAGAUGAACCUCAAAAACAUAUGCUAAAUGAAAGAAGCCAGAUGCCGAAGGUCACAUUUUGUGUGAUUCCAUUUGUAUGAAAUAUCCAAAAUAGGUAUUUUCAUAGAGAUAAAAAGCAGAUUGGUGGUUGCCAGGGGUGAGGAGAGAGGAGAAUGAGGAGUAACUGCUUAACGGGUAAAGGCUUUCCUUUUGGGGUAACGAAAAUGUACUAAAUGCCAUUGAAUUGUUCACUUUAAAAUGAUUUUUCGUUAUGUGAAUUUCACCAUAAUUGUUUUAAAAAAUGACACUUAACCAUUGAUGAAAACCAUCAAUUCUACUUCCUCUUCCCCAAGUCUGGUUCUAAGAUCUUUGCUUAAUGCUGUACCAGGGAAGCAAAAGAUGCUGCAGGUUUGGAGCCAAGGCGACAACUCACGCUUCAGUGGCAAUUAUUUUGAAAAGAACCAACCAAAAAGCCAGGUCAGGUCAUCCACAAAAGACAUAUUUAAUUUCAAAGGCAAUUUGUCCUAAGUUAUAGAAUUUUUCUUGCAUUCAAUUAAAGUUUCCAUUCCAGAAAUAUUAGUGUUUUUAAUACCUCCCCCACACCAACUGUAAGAUCUCACAGCAGUUUUCUGGAUUUGCAGUGAAUCCCAUCUUCCUUCAGAACACGAUUGGCCAAAAUCUUGAGUGUCCCUGCCUGACAUAUGGAGAGAAAAUUGCUCCUCCCACUGCUGGACCUGUUCUCUAAAAGGUCUUCCCAAAAGAUACUUCUAGUAGCAAUUAUGCAAAUGUGUGGUAAAAGUAAGGUUACUUUUGAAGGAACUAUUUCUACUUCAGAUGGGACAAAUGCCAGAAUCUCCAAUCAGUGCUAUGGAUGCCUGAGAGCAAAUGACUCAACUAUGCCUCUCAGUUGGAAUCCUCCCUCUCAUUUAUCACAAAGUGUAGGAUGGGGCUGGGAUGGCAAUUUGUCAAUCUACACAGUCCAAAAUGGCUCAAGACCACAUUCACACUCCAGCCUGCAGGAAAGGGAAAAGAGGAACAAUGGAGAACAAACCCAUUUCCUUUUAGGGACAUGACCUGGAAAUUUCACACAUCACUUCUGCUGCUACCCUGUUAGCCAGAAUCUGGUUGUACUGUCACAUCUAGCUGCAAGGGAGGCUGGCCACAUGCCCAGCUUAAACUUCUAUUACUAUGGAAAAGGGGGAGAAUGGAUAUUGGGAACUGCAACUAGGACUCAGCCCCACAAGCCAACCUAACGUUCCUUUCUCAUCAAUGACCCCAGUCUCUUUGCUGUCAUCCAAAAUGGCAAGUUCAGGCCCCACCUCUGAGACUUUAGUCAUGCCCUUCCCCAGUAUGGAAUGUUCUAUCUGCUUCUCCACACUUGUCUUGCCUUCAUCGUCCCCUCAGGUCUCAUCUCCUCCCCAAAACCUUCCCUGACAACCCCAGCCCACAGUGCCUUCCCAAAGCAUUCCUCGACCUUUAUCUUUGCACUAUUCACAUGCUGUUCCAUGAAGCUAAGUCUUAAUUUCAGAAUUAGACAACAGAUUUCUUGAGAACAGGGUCCCUGUUGUACAUUUUUCUUGUCUCUUCUAUGGUCUCUAGCUCAGUGCUGAGCACAUAUGUGUGUUUGACAAUUAUGCUCUGAAAUGAAUUGAAUUUGAUUAGAAUGAUCUGCUGAAUAAUUUAGGACAAUAUUCUUAUUUUCCUUUAAUUAUGGUAUUUUUCACCUGAGUGGUCUGUAUAAUUUAUCUAUUUUAUAUAUAUAAUAAGGAUUUUAAUCUUUAUAAAUAUACAAAUUAAUCUUUAUACACACAUUCACAAUCCAAGAAACAGGUUGUAUUCUUAUUUAGUUUUCUCAUUCAAUUGUUUACCAGGCAACUUUGCAUCACCAUUACCUGCACUGUUUCAAAAAUUAAAUAGGAUAAGCAUAGCUGAAGCAUUUAGCGCAGGACCUGGCACAUAGCUUGUGCUAAAUAAAUGCUGAGAGAAAAAAAGUCAAGGACAAAGUAUAAAUGUAAACUGAGUUAAAGGGUUUAAAACAUACUGCAAGAGCACGAAUUCUGGUAUUAGAUCCCUGUUUGAACUUUGGUUCUUCUAUUUAGUCACAGUUUGGUAGAGGACUCAAUGAAUUGACUGAUAUGGGCUUGUCAUUUUCUAUUAUCUCUCUGUUCCAUGCACACACUUCUAUACUUUUAUUUGUAAUGCUGUGGGCUUGGAGUCUGACAAUUAUAUUUCCCAGAUUCCCUUGCUAGCUGAUUUCCAGUCAGGGUCUGCAAUCAGGAGGCACAACUGGGGGACUGGGAGGCAGGAGUAGAGAGGGACUCUCUUCCUCCUUCCACAUUCUUUUGGACAGUUACAACUCUGGCAUCUUUUGACACUGCUGCCACCAGUGUCAAGCCACUUUCUCAGAGGUUCCCUCACCAGCCACACAGUGCCCCCUUGGCAGUCCAGUACCAGGUACACGAUGGCCCUGCAGCAGCCCAGCUCCUAAGGUGGUGGCCCUUCCUCUGCCUUCCUAGGUUCUGGUUCCACGUCUUUCCUUUUGUCCCCUGCAGCCUUCAGGUUGCUUUCUGUAUUUACUCACUGUCUCCUUUUGGAUGUUCCAACUCCUGUGAAAUCCACUCAUUAUAUUAAAUACCCUCUGGUUGAAAUACCUAGCAUAAUUUCUGUUUUUCUGACUUCAUUUUGACUGAUACAGUAUGCAAUGUGCUUAACGCAUUUCCUCUUCUCAACAAAUGUCAGUUCUCCCCUAGGUGAUUCCACUCUGUUGUGUUGAAAGAUAAUGUGUUAUGGAAGCAAAGAUAUAUUAAUUAACUUAACUUUACAAUAUUAUAUUUACAGUAGUUGUUCUCAAUUCUGUCUCCAUGUAUGAAGACCCCCAGCUGUCCAGGGUAUCUUCCCUGCCUAUCGUGGCCUAAGGCAAUGAAAUCGUCUGAAAAAGAUAUGGAUUUUGGAAAAACAUUGAUGCUGCAAAUCUGUGCCUCAACUGCUUACUCUCCC